UCUCACUAAACGAGUGUGACAAUAAGAAAAAGCCUCUGUGAAGUCAGUCAAAGGCCAAUGAAAAAAAAGAAUGAUAAAAAAAGAAUGAUAUAUAUAGCCUAUCCUAUACAUUUAAAUCUUUGUUGUCAAAUCAUGUUUGUGAUGUAUUUGUGCAUCAAAUAAUCACAAUCAGAUUUAUUAUUAGGUCACAUACAAGGAAUUUACCGUGGUGUAUUAGUGCAUAAUAAUAAAUAGAAGAAAAAAAUGUAAAUAAAGAUGAAAAUAAGUACUGUAAGCCAAGAAGAACAGGUUAAACAGAAAAUUGACAAUAACAUAGAACAAAUAUGAUAAAGACAAUAAAAGGCAAUCAGUACAAUAUGACUAAUUUUAAAUGGAAGCUGUUUGUGCAGGAAUGUGCAAAGGGUCACAGUAUUUAGUAUAAAGAAUAUUUGCAAUGUGCAAGAUAACUCUCCACUAAUGUCUAGAGGGUUGGAAGGGUGGAGGUGAGUCAGUGUCAGUGGGGUCCCAGGACCUGUUGAUGAGACCAGCUGCAGAUGGAGGAGUACAGGUCCUGGAGGAGUGCAGGUCCUGGAGGAGUGCAGGUCCUGGGGGAGUACAGGUCCUGGAGGAGUACAGGUCCUGGGGGAGUACAGGUCCUGGAGGAGUACAGGUCCUGGAGGGACGGCAGAUUGCAGUUAAUCACCUUCUCAGAGGAGCCAAUGAUACAUCUGCAGUCUGUCCCCCGCAGUGGCAGCAGCGUACCAGAGGAUGAUGGAGGAGGAGAGGAUGGACUCCACCAUCAUCGUCUCUGGUAGGUUGAACUUCCUCUGCUGCCCCAGGAAGGCUGUGUGUUCUUUUGGGGGGAGAUGAGGUCUGAAUGAUGAUGGUUCCCAGGAAGCAGAAGGACUCCGGUGUCAACUAGGGAGUCACACAGGGUGAUGGGGGCAGGUCUGUCUUUAAAGUGUUGAGCUCCAGGUUGUUCUGACAGUCAUUGUACGUAAUAUUGUAAUCUGUUAUAUAUAAAUAUAAAUCAUAUUAAAAUGUGUGUACAAUCUUUAGUUAUCCCACUUUAGAAAAAGUUGUUUCAAAAGUAUGUUUUGACUAAUGUGGGGCAGUCAUAUAUAUUAUAUGUUAUUAUAUAUUAUAGUUUAAAUUAAUAUGAAAAAAUAAGUAAAUCUUGUGGGUAGGAUUAUAUUAUAUUAUAUUAUAUUGUGCUACGUACCAAGUCCCACAGUAGAUUUGGUGCACAGUAGCACCAAAAGCGGUUCCACCCCUCUAUAACCUGCCAUCACAACAAUGAAUCUGUUCAACUGGAUCUGCCUCCUUAUCUGUCUUCUGUAUUUGGGUCCACCUUUGAACUGUAGUCAAACAUGAACAGUAAUGACUCCUGUUGGACAGACUGACAACGCCACCCAGUGUUUCAUGCCCCUUUUUUCUUUCAUUCGACAAUCUUUUUUCUGUCCGUCAUCUUAUUGGCUGAUUGUUUCAGUUUUUAAUAACAAAACUGAUAUAAAAUGUCUGAAUGAUGACAAACAUUUAAAUUAAUGACCAAAAAAUAACAUGUAUUACUCAUUCAUUCAUUAUUCAUAGAAAAACUUCAAAAACUUCAACAUCUUUAAAACAGAAGAAACAGAAGAAACGAUUUAUCUCACAACUUAGGAUGAAAACUUUAUUUUAUUGAUUUUAAAUCCUUCUUGAGUAAAUAAGCUCACACAUGUUUUUUUAGGCAUUUAGAAACAUGAAUUCAAACACUCAGAAACUGAAUACAACGAAGAACAGACAGAUGUGACAACGGAAGAUCUGAACUCUGAUCAGUCUGAUGAGUCGCUCUGUCCACAGUGAUGAACAAUAAAGUUUUGAAUGCAUC